CUGCUGCCUUCCGUAGGAGUUUGGGCCGUGUCUCAGUCCCAAUGUGGCCGUUCACCCUCUCAGGCCGGCUACUGAUCGUCGCCUUGGUGGCUGUUACCCCGCCAACAAGCUAAUCAGACGCGGAUCCAUCGUAUACCACCGGAGUUUUUCACACCGUCUCAUGCGAGACUGUGCGCUUAUGCGGUAUUAGCACCUAUUUCUAAGUGUUAUCCCCCAGUAUACGGCAGGUUAUCCACGCGUUACUCACCCGUCCG
rnacentral:rRNA from 1 species